GGAAUUUAUGGUGAUAGAAAAGAGAACAAGAAGUCGCACGUUAAUAAUGAUAAGGGAAAAAAACAAAAAACUGAUAUGUAAUAAGUAUCUACAAUGUUAGGGAAAGUUAGUAGUGUGUAUAUGUGUUCUGUUACAGCUGCAGUAACUGCUUUGGUGAAAUCUUUCGAUGAGAUAUCAAACCAUCUUGUCUGUUAGAAGAUCCUUGUACAUUACACACGACUGUCAUGUUAGCACGCAAAGUUGUUAAUGUGUGUAUCAUUCUUCUGUUAAUUUUAACAUGCACACACAUUUAAAUGACGGCGGAGCAUCUGAUAUUUUGUUUAUCUGCAAU
rnacentral:lncRNA from 1 species